AUUGAACGCUGGCGGCAGGCCUAACACAUGCAAGUCGAGCGGAGCGGCGGACGGGUGGGUAAUACCUACGAAUCUGCCUGGUCGUGGGGGAUAACGUUCGGAAACGGACGCUAAUACCGCAUACUCUCAGCUGAGCCUAGGUCGGAUUCGCUAGUUGGUGGGGUAAUGGCUCACCAAGGCUACGAUCCGUAACUGGUCUGAGAGGAUGAUCAGUCACACUGGAACUGAGACACGGUCCAGACUCCUACGGGAGGCAGCAGUGGGGAAUAUUGGACAAUGGGCGAAAGCCUGAUCCAGCCAUGCCGCGGGUGUGAAGAAGGUUUUCGGAUUGUAAAGCACUUUAAGUUGGGAGGCGUUACCGACAGAAUAAGCACCGGCUAACUCUGUGCCAGCCGCCGCGGUAAUUC
rnacentral:rRNA from 1 species